rnacentral:tRNA from 2 species
CGGAAGUGGCGAAAUUGGUAGACGCACCAGAUUUAGGUUCUGGCGCCGCGAGGCGUAAGAGUUCAAGUCUCUUCUUCCGCACCA